CCUACGGGUGGCAGCAGUGGGGGAUAUUGCACAAUGGGGGAAACCCUGAUGCAGCGACGCCGCGUGUGGGAAGACGGUCCUCUGGAUUGUAAACCACUGUCCCCAGGGACGAAGAUGACGGUACCUGGGCAGGAAGCUCCGGCUAACUACGUGCGAGCAGCCGCGGUAAUACGUAGGGAGCGAGCGUUGUCCGAAAUUCCGGGGUGUAAAGGGAGCGUAGGCGGGGAUGCAAGUUGGGUGUCAAAAUUACCGGCUAAACUGGUAGUCGCACUCAAAACUGCAGCUCUUGAGUGAAGUAGAGGCAGGCGGAAUUCCUAGUGUAGCGGUGAAAUGCGUAGAUAUUAGGAAGAACACCAGUGGCGAAGGCGGCCUGCUAGGCUUUUACUGACGCUGAGGCUCGAAAGUGUGGGGAGCAAACAGGAUUAGAUACCCGAGUAGUC
rnacentral:rRNA from 1 species